GUCAACAGCAACGAGUUUGCAGGGUUAACCUGGAUGGCGUUCGAUAAUUUUUCCUGUUGUUGUGUGUUGCAAUUGGCGCUUUAAUCCAGUUAUCCAGCACGAAUAGAUCACAUUUACCAUCGAACAUAUAAAGAGUAGUUGUCCUGCUGGUAGGUUUUACAGCAGAGGGGGGAACACUUCUUUUGCGCGUUGUACACAGUACUGGAUCACGAACAUAAAUAGGCGAUUGCGAUUCAUUAGUUUAAUAGGUACCGUUACUAAGCGUAAACGGAGGGAGGCUGGUGAUGCUCGCUCUAACCGCAGCAGGUCACAUUAAGCACGGCGAUCGGAAGAGCGGACUGGCGUGAGUGUUGUGUCUAUGAGCCUGGGUGCUGGCACAUGCACAGGAAGAGAGAGACUGAAAGCGUUCCAUCCAUCCAGACGUACGGAAAAGGAGUGAGAUAAAGAAGGGUCCGUGUCCCCUGCAUGGCCCCGGCCCCCUGCCCUGGGGACGUGCGGUUUGGGAGAGAGAGUCCCGCGGUGAUACCAUCACACCUGAGAUAACCAGCGCGGCAGAACAUACCUGAGCAAGCCGCUCAGAGUCGCAAAGAACAGCGGAACACCCAGCUAAAAGGGGCGGAGUUAACCCCGGAAUCUCCUCCACUGUCACUGUGAUGUCACAGCAGAGAGGCUGGUCUGUGGCACAUCACAUCUCUCUUUGCUAAUCUUAGACUCUGCGGGUGUACGUGUGUAUGUGCAUGUGUGUGUGUACGUGUAUGUGUUCGCGCGUGUGUGUACGUGCUUGUGUGCCUGUGUGUGUGUACGUGUGUGUGUGCACAUGUGUACGUGUAUGUGCGCGUGUGUGUGUGUGUACGUGCUUGUGUGCCUGUGUGUGUGUACGUGUAUGUGUGCACGUGUGUGUGUAUACGUGAGUGUGUACCUGUUUGCAUCUAAAUUUAAAAAUGGAUCAAGUAAGAGUACAUGACACUCUUGAAUUUCAACUGUGACAAUCACUUAAAAUGUAGAUUUUAUUUAAGAAUGACAAUGUUUACAUUUCCAGUACAAGAAUAAACUUUGCCUCACAAAUAUAUUUAGGCUUACAUGUGCUGCCAAUGUACUAUUAAUAUAUUGUUUUGAUCAUUUGUGUUAAUUUAUCUAUCAAUAUGUUCUUUUUUCAGUCAAAUUUAAUACAUUUUCAUUUGUGUGUUUGUUGACAUUUUAUGAACUAUUUCAUUAUUUUGGUAUUAUAGUACUGUGCGUGACAGAAGACUAACCCUGUGUUUUUAUAAUAAUUAUAAAACCUUUCACCUGCUCCUGUGUGCUGUAAGGCAGGUGCGAUGUUCCCAUUGUUUCUGAAAUCAGGGUGUGAAUGUGAGCUGGUGUCUCUAAAGGGCUGCACAUACCUCAGCGUCAUCUUGUUAAUCAGCCUGCUGAGAAAUGCCUUCACACAAUACCAGCAGUUUUCCUUUUGAGCCACCAUGGCAUGAGAGUAAAAGUUUUCAUUUGAAAUUAAAUUGCUUUGGAAGAACUGUGUAUAAAUACAGGCUCUCCUCAUCUACGAAAUGGACGAGUUUCCUCCCACUCUCCCCCUUGAACAUUUGUUUGCUUCAGAGAGAUGAGUCACCUUCUCCUGAUGCUCCUUCAGGGUGCGAUUGGCGCAAUCUGUUCUAACGCUGCUAUCAGAUUUACGCACAGGAUCACUGUAGCUGCCUGCAUGUCCAUAUCCUCUAGCUGCCUGCAUGUUCAUGUCCUGUAGCUGCCUGCAUGUUCAUAUCCUGUAGCUGCCUGCAUGUCCAUAUCCUGUAGCUGCCUGCAUGUCCAUAUCCUGUAGCUGCCUGCAUGUUCAUAUCCUGUAGCUGCCUGCAUGUCCAUAUCCUGUAGCUGCCUGCA